ACUCCUUUAGUAUAAAAAGUAUAUUUAACUUCCAAUUAAAAGGUUUAUUAAUUAAAAGGAGUA
rnacentral:tRNA from 3 species